rnacentral:rRNA from 1 species
UCCCGUUGAUCCUGCGGGAGGUCGCUGCUAUCAGAAUUCGAUUAAGCCAUGCGAGUCCAGGCCACUUUAUGUGACCGGCAGACUGCUCAGUAACACGUCGUUAAUCUGCCCUAUUGUCUAGGAUAACCUCGGGAAACUGAGGAUAACACUGGAUAGGUAAUUUCUUUUGGAAUAAUUCAUUGCCUAAAGGCAACGCAAUAGGAUGAGACGGCGGCUGAUUAGCUAGUUGGCGGGGUAAAGGCCCACCAAGGCAAAGAUCAGUACGGGCCAUGAGAGUGGGAACCCGGAGAAGGGUACUGAGAUACGGACCCUAGCCCUACGGGGUGCAGCAGGCGCGAAACCUCAGCAAUGCACGAAAGUGUGACUGGGGGAUUCUGAGUGCUCAUGUAAAGCAUGGGCUUUUGCCAAAGGUAAGUACUUUGGCGAAUAAGUGGGGGGUAAUACUGGUGCCAGCCGCCGCGGUAACACCAGAGCCACGAGUGGGGACCGCUAUUAUUGGGCCUAAAGCGUUCGUAGCCGGUCUAGUAAAUCUUCUGUGAAAUCGUUGCGCUUAACGUAACGGCGGGCAGAAGACACUGCUAGACUUGGGACCGGGAGGCGUGUGAGGUAUUCAGGGGGUAGCGGUAAAAUGCGAUCAUCCUCUGAGGACCACCUGUGGCGAAGGCGUCACACGAGAACGGAUCCGACGGUGAGGGACGAAAGCUAGGGGAGCGAACCGGAUUAGAUACCCGAGUAGUCCUAGCAGUAAACUCUGCAAGCCAGGUGUUGCGCAUUCUACGGGAGUGUGCAGUGUCGGAGAGAAGUCGUUAAGCUUGCCGCCUGGAAGUACGGUCGCAAGGCUGAAACUUAAAGGAAUUGGCGGGGGAGCACUACAAGGGGUGCGGCGUGCGGUUUAAUUGUAUUCAACACCGAGCAUCUCACCAGGAGCGACGGCAGAAUGAAGGUCAGUCUAAAGGGCUUACCUGACGAGCCGAGAGGUGGUGCAUGGCCGUCGUCAGCUCGUGCUGUGAAGUGUCCUGUUAAGUCAGGCAACGAGCGAGACCUAUGCCUACAAUUGCCAGCGAGUAGCGUGCUACGAUCGGGCACUUUGUAGGGACUGCCUUGGAAACAAGGAGGAAGGUGUAGGCUACGGUAGGUCUGUAUGCCCCGAAUCCCUGGGCUACACGCGCGCAACAAUGGUCGAGACAAUGGGCUGCGACACCGAAAGGUGAAGCUAAUCCUCGAAACUCGAUCUUAGUCUGGAUCGAGGCUUGCAACUCAGCCUCGUGACACCGGAAUCCCUAGUAAUCGGACUUCAUCAAAGUCCGGUGAACAUGUCCCUGUUCCUUGUUCACACCGCCCGUCAAACCACUCGAGCAGGGUUUGAAUGAGGUGCAUUUUUUUGAGUGCAUCGAAUUUAGGCUCAGUGAGAUGGGUUAAGUCGUCACAAGGUA